UUGGAGGGCAAGUCUGGUGCCAGCAGCCGCGGUAAUUCCAGCUCCAAUAGCGUAUAUUAAAGUUGUUGCAGUUAAAAAGCUCGUAGUUGAAUUUCGGGAUCAAAUUGUCGGUCGUGCCUCGGUACGCACUGGUAUUAUUGGUUCCUACCUUCUGAAGAACCGCGAUGUCAUUAAUUUGGUGUCGUGGGGAAUCAGGACUGUUACUUUGAAAAAAUUAGAGUGUUUAAAGCAGGCUUACGCUUGAAUACAUUAGCAUGGAAUAAUGAAAUAGGACGUUUGAUUCUAUUUUGUUGGUUUCUAGGAUUGACGUAAUGAUUAAUAGGGAUAGUUGGGGGCAUUAGUAUUCAAUUGUCAGAGGUGAAAUUCUUGGAUUUAUUGAAGACUAACUACUGCGAAAGCAUUUGCCAAGGAUGUUUUCAUUAAUCAAGAACGAAAGUUAGGGGAUCGAAGACGAUCAGAUACCGUCGUAGUCUUAACCAUAAACUAUGCCGACUAGGGAUCGGAUGAUGUUAAUUUAUUAAUGACUCAUUCGGCGCCUUACGGGAAAC
rnacentral:rRNA from 1 species